GCCAAGUUUUCAAGAGUCGGUGGGUAAUACCACCUACUAACACCCUUUUCUACUCUUUUUAUAAGACCAAAUGAUUGAAAUAUUUUAUGAUAUGCUUGCACAUUUCCAGUACCAGAUAAAGAACAAGUGUCUAAGAUUGGACUUAUCAAACCAAUUGUUUCCAUUUGAGAAAGUCUUUCUGGAGAAAGUUUUGCCAGCCAAGUUAAGGCUUUCUUUGUUUUAGAAUUUAUCACUGAACAAUGAUCCUUAAGCACACUGAUGAAAAAUGACACAUUUUGCUCCUUUCCUCCAGAUGUUCCUUU
rnacentral:misc_RNA from 1 species